UACGUAGGGUCCGAGCGUUGUCCGGAAUUAUUGGGCGUAAAGGGCUCGUAGGCGGUUAGUCACGUCGGGAGUGAAAACUCAGGGCUCAACCCUGAGCGUGCUUCCGAUACGGGCUGACUAGAGGUAUGCAGGGGAGAACGGAAUUCCUGGUGUAGCGGUGGAAUGCGCAGAUAUCUGGAGGAAUACCGGUGGCGAAGGCGGCAUCCUGGACCGGCAUUGACGCUGAGGAGCGAAAGCCAGGGGAGCAAACGGG
rnacentral:rRNA from 1 species